CGGGGACGAGAUUAUUCAGUUUGGAGGGACGCUUGUUAUGAUUAUGCGCACUCUCGAACGGAAUGAUCUUGCCCCGGAG
rnacentral:pre_miRNA from 1 species